rnacentral:rRNA from 1 species
UACGUAGGGUGCAAGCGUUAAUCGGAAUUACUGGGCGUAAAGCGUGCGCAGGCGGUUUCGUAAGACAGAUGUGAAAUCCCCGGGCUUAACCUGGGAAUUGCAUUUGUGACUGCGGGACUAGAGUUUGGCAGAGGGAGGUGGAAUUCCAAGUGUAGCAGUGAAAUGCGUAGAUAUUUGGAAGAACACCGAUGGCGAAGGCAGCCUCCUGGGCCAAGACUGACGCUCAUGCACGAAAGCGUGGGGAGCAAACAGG